rnacentral:lncRNA from 1 species
GGGAGCUGAUGAUAUCCAUGGCCAGCUGAGAGCUAUUUCUGGCUCUGUUCCCUUCCAGCAAGUAGCUAAUUCAUCACUUGCACGGCUCUGAAAAGUUUUGGGCAGCACAGUGCCUUUGGCCAAGAACACAGUGGUGUCUGCUGCUGCUGUUGUUGUGCCAGGGGAGGUUCAGGUUGGAUAUAAGGAAAAAAUUUCUUCUCUGAAAGCUAAAAGGCACUGGCAGGGAGUGGUGGAGUCACCAUCCCUGGAGGUGUUCAAGAACUGUGCAGAUGUGGCACUGAGGGACAUGUUUAUGGGCAUGGUGGAGAUGGAUAGUGUAUGAGAACUGUUGAGUCACAGCCUGAACUACUGAUUGAGCACCUGGAGGAAAGGCCCUGUCAGCCCUGGGAGCACAGGUGAAGGUAAUUCACCUGUGAUACCAGAAAGGGUGGAGCCUGGCUCUACUCCUCUUAGACCUCAUUUAAGGGCUGGCAGCCACUAAGAAGGGUUCUUUUGUUGGAGAUCUCUCUUCUGUGGAGUUUUAAUGUAAGCCUACAUCUUCAGAGAGAGGUGCUCCCUACCUCCAUUUUGCAGAGAAAGCCUGAGAGGAGCAGGCACUGGCACCCGCAGCAGGAGGAGCAGCCCUGUGUUUCUCUGCAGUGCACCUGUUCCUGGAGGCUGGAAGCAAUGUUGCUUUUAAUUGGCUAA